rnacentral:rRNA from 1 species
UACGUAGGGUGCAAGCGUUAAUCGGAAUUACUGGGCGUAAAGCGUGCGCAGGCGGUUUUGUAAGUCUGUCGUGAUAUCCCCGGGCUCAACCUGGGAACUGCAUUUGUGACUGCAUUGCUGGAGUGCGGCAGAGGGGGAUGGAAUUCCGCGUGUAGCAGUGAAAUGCGUAGAUAUGCGGAGGAACACCGAUGGCGAAGGCAAUCCCCUGGGCCUGCACUGACGCUCAUGCACGAAAGCGUGGGGAGCAAACAGG